UGGGGAAUAUUGGACAAUGGGCGCAAGCCUGAUCCAGCCAUGCCGCGUGAGUGAUGAAGGCCCUAGGGUUGUAAAGCUCUUUCACCGGUGAAGAUAAUGACGGUAACCGGAGAAGAAACCCCGGCUAACUUCGUGCCAGCAGCCGCGGUAAUACGAAGGGGGCUAGCGUUGUUCGGAUUUACUGGGCGUAAAGCGCACGUAGGCGGACUAUUAAGUCAGGGGUGAAAUCCCGGGGCUCAACCCCGGAACUGCCUUUGAUACUGGUAGUCUUGAGUUCGAGAGAGGUGAGUGGAAUUCCGAGUGUAGAGGUGAAAUUCGUAGAUAUUCGGAGGAACACCAGUGGCGAAGGCGGCUCACUGGCUCGAUACUGACGCUGAGGUGCGAAAGCGGGGGGAGCAAACAGG
rnacentral:rRNA from 1 species